AGUGAACGCUGGCGGUAGGCCUAGCACAUGCAAGUCGAACGGCAGCACAGUAAGAGCUUGCUCUUACGGGUGGCGAGUGGCGGACGGGUGAGGAAUACAUCGGAAUCUACUUUUUCGUAGGGGAUAACGUAGGGAAACUUACGCUAAUACCGCAUACGACCUACGGGUGAAAGCAGGGGAUCUUCGGACCUUGCGCGAUUGAAUGAGCCGAUGUCGGAUUAGCUAGUUGGCGGGGUAAAGGCCCACCAAGGCGACGAUCCGUAGCUGGUCUGAGAGGAUGAUCAGCCACACUGGAACUGAGACACGGUCCAGACGCCUACGGGAGGCAGCAGUGGGGAAUAUUGGACAAUGGGCGCAAGCCUGAUCCAGCCAUACCGCGUGGGUGAAGAAGGCCUUCGGGUUGUAAAGCCCUUUUGUUGGGAAAGAAAAGCAGCAGGUUAAUACCCCGCUGUUCUGACGGUACCCAAAGAAUAAGCACCGGCUAACUUCGU
rnacentral:rRNA from 1 species